CUGGCUGUACAGCGUGGCCGCUCUCCGGUCCACUCCAUUGGAUGGGGAGAUGCUGGCACUCUGCUCCUCCCCCGUGCUGCUGUCUGGCAGGUGCAGCAGAGACCUCUUCUGAUAGGAAGGCAGGUUGGUAGACACAAUUCCUGGGGAGCCUGAAGGGUGUCUCUGGGGCUGAAAAAGAACUAUACUUCAGGAAAAAACACACCCCUCCACCCCCCAAAAUAGAAGGUAAUACAUUUGCAUUUUAAGUGAAAAAAAAAAAAGAGCUAGGAAAGUUUUACAAAGAUUUUAUUGAGCAACUAAUCCAAUAAUUUCAUUUCUGAAAAUUUAUGUCAAAGAGAAAACUGGAGCAAAAUACACAAAGUAUAUGUACAAAGAGGUUUAUCCUGCAGUUGUUUAUAAAAGAAAAAAUUCAGAAACAACCUACAUGUCUAUCAUUAGGGGACUGGUUAAAAAAAUAUUUCCAUCAAUGGAAUUCUAGAAGCCAUUAAAACUACCAUGCUGGUUUAUAUACAGUGACCAAUGGGAGGCCAUGUAUGCCUCAUAGUAAGUAAAAAAGAAAGCAGGUUUUAAAAUAGUAUGUAUAGGGGCGCCUGGGUGGCUCAGUCGGUUAAGCGGCUGACCUCGGCUCAGGUCAUGAUCUCGUGGUCUGUGAGUUCGAGCCCCGCAUCGGGCUCUGUUGCUGACAGCUCAGAGCCUGGAGCCUGUUUCAGAUUCUGUGUCUCCCUCUCUCUGACCCUCCCUGUUCAUGCUCUGUCUCUCCCUGUCUCAAAAAUAAAUAAAACGUUAAAAAAAAAAUAAAAAAAAAUAGUAUGUAUAGGGGGAACCUGGGUGGCUCAGUAGGUUAAGUGUCUGAUUCCUGGUUUCAGCUCAGGUCAUGAUCUCACAGUUUGUGGGAUUCAGCCCCGAGUCAGGCUCUAUGCUGACAGUGAAAGGCCUGCUUGGGAUUCUCUCUCCCCUCUCUCCCUGCCCUUCCCCUGCUUGCUCUCUCUCUCUCUCUCAAAAUAAAUAAAUAAAAUAAAUAAAUAAAUAAAUAAAUAAAUAAAUAAUAGUUAGUAUGUAUGGCAAAUCCCUUUUAUAUGUAUGUUUUGAAUGAUACAAUAAGCUUAGUGGUUUAUUUCUAGGUUUUAAAUUGUGGGUGAUUUUUGUCCUCUGUUUAUAACUAUGUAUUGUCUUAUUUAAAAGAAUAAGUAUAUCUCACUUUCAUAACCAGAAAAAAUAUCAAGAAAGUAUUUUAUUUUUCUGAGAAUUAAAGCAGUAAGACAGCACCCACCUGUGGCCUGAUAGCAGCUCCAGAACUGCCAUUGGAAGGCAACAGCUAGUGCCCAGAGGAUCCCUUCUUACCAUGCCAGAGGCUUUCUUCUACACCCGAUUCUCCCUGCCCUGCUGUGACAUCGGACCCUGCUGACCUCUCCUUCUUUCUGAAAUGCUCUUUUGAACAUUCACAUCUGUCCUUCUGUUGCAUCUGGAGCUAGUGUGAUGUGGAUUUGAUGGUGCCUGUCCCCUCACACAUCAGAAGGGACACCACUCCCUCACUGUGGGGUAAGUGGGAGGCUAAAGUAUACAGGGUGCUCAGCACAGUCUUUUGCACGUAUUACAUGCCUGAUAAAAGUUUAAAUCAGAACAGAGAGGGGGGGUGUGAAAAACAGAAAACAGAGUGUUUUUAAAAUAUUAAAAAAUUUUAAUGUUGAUUUAUUUAUUUUGAGAGAGAGAGUACAAGCAGGGGAGGGCCAGAGAGAGAGGGAGAGAGAGAGAAUCCCAAGUAGGCUCCGCACUGUCAGCACAGAGCCCGACACUGGGCUCGAACUUGAGAACUGUAAGAUCAUGACCUGAGCUGAAACCAAGAGUGGGACGCUUAACUAACUGAGCAACGCACGUGCCUCUGUUUUUAAAAUAUUUUUAUGAUAAAUGUUUCUCAAUUCAGAAAGAGAAAAGGGGGUGUGAGCAACAGAAAGUAGCAUAAUUUGUCUUUUAAAAAUAUUUUCUUUUCUCUGGUUAUUUCUCUGAAGCAAAUACGGUCCGGGUGUUCCCCUCCCCACUCGUGGUAGAAAAUCAGCUGAAACCACAGAGACACAGAUAGAAAAGAACCCAGUAAUUUUCCGUGGAUGCGGGGCCCUGAAACACAAGUAUUAUGUCACUGCGGUGAAGUGAGACACUCAGGAACUAUUCAGUCAUUUGGAACUUUCUGCCCUGGACCUCCAGGGCAUGACCCCUCCCUUUCUACCCUUCUCUUUGGCCAUAAACUCACCUGGGUUACCUGUGGCAGCGGGCCCUACCUGACCUAGCACCCUCAAAAAGCUCAGAAGUAGCUCCUCAAAGGAUUUUACCAACUCACACGGUCUGUUCUGGGCUCUUCUUUAAGGUCCACAGUUACUCUUUCCCACAGCUGCUGCCACUUCUCAGAGGUUUGGUUCAAUUUAUGCUCCAAUCUUUCAAUUUCCUGCAAAGUAAUAAAAAGGAGUUUUCUGAUAGUAAGUAUUUCGUAGAAAUCAGGACGUGUCCCAGAGCCACAUCUCCUCUGUACUGGGCCCCAAUGGACAUCAUGGUCAGAGGGCAGCUGAAGUCAAUGGCCUCAGAGGUCUCCCAAGCCAGGAGCAGUGGUGUGAACUCUAGCUGGUAUGAUGCACUAUGGCAAAGAUGAUUUAUUAGGAUCUGUAAUCAGGCCUUUUUGUACAGAAUAGCUUAAAUAAAGACAUAAAAUAUGUAUCCCAAACACCUUCACCUUUGGCUAGCCCAGAGGGAAUCUGAUGGCCACCGCAAAAGGCCAAGCACUGGGCUGGCAUCCAAACCCUAGUAGCUGAGGUAGGAGUCUGUCCUUGACAGAGGAACCCCUAACUCUGCUGAUUUAAAACCAGAUGUGGAAAGAAUGAACCAAGAAAUGCACAAAGAAUGGAAUUUCCUCGGGACAAGGAAGCUGGGGAUCAGAGCAGCUGCCUCUGUGACGCCUUCACUGCAGCACACUCCUCCCAGUCACAAGACUGCACGAAGACUCUUCAGGAACUGCUUGGCCCGUAUCAGGGCUCAAACCCUUUCCUCAGGGCUGCUGCUCUCAGCAGGGUGGCUACUGCUGGGAUUGUUUCAGUUCAGAAUAUUCUCUGUAGAGACGCUGGCAGUAUUCCCAUCAGGCCAUCAACUACCCACACUUCUGACCAGAGGAAGUAGAGCACCCACAAAAGCCAUAACCCAGGCCUGACUCAGGCUGUUGGGCAGCUAAAACAGCUGGGAAGCUGCAAAUUGCUCCAUUUGCUUGAUUGCUUCCUCAUAAUGCCAGAAAACUUACUUUUUUGAGACCCUUUUCCAGUAGUUGAGCCUGGUCCCCUACUGUUGUUGAGGAGCAAAUUUGGUUUUCCUCAUUCUCCUGGAAUGCUACGUAUCACACUGGCUCAGAGUGAGGACAGCCAUGUCCGGAAGUAUGCGAACCACUUUUAAUUUAGCCUGGUUUCUGAGGCCUCGGGUACUACCAGGGCCCCUGUUGCCCUCUGUGCAUGUCUACACAGGCCUGACUUACACUGAAAAGGCUGGUGAGAGCAUCGGGCUGAGCACAGCUGAUAUCAUCAUAGCAGGGCCACACUGUUCUCCUCCGGCUCUGGGGGCCAGCUCCUCCAGCCACUUCAGAGUCCUCGGAGGGGAAGUGCUUGGGGGUUAGCAUCAUCCAGUCAUAUGAAGGGCCUGUGGAAAGGGUCUCUUCUGUGUAGUAAUCCCACUUCUUGAGGCUGGAGACAUUUACACUGGGCUUCAGGGCCUGUUCAAAGAAAAUUCUGAAAUAUAGUUUCAUCUUGACCUCAAAGUACCCCAGCUUACUGGCAGGUCAGCCCUUAACAUUUGCAGGGUCCAGGGCAAGAGCAUGAAUGGAGAUUCAAAUACCAUAUAUGUAAAUAUUUAGAUAUUAUACAUCAAGAUAAACUAUUAAAUAAAAUAUAUCUCUCCUCCUACCUUGGUAAAUAUAACUUCCUAAUGAUCUGGAAGACCAGGCUCAAACUGAGAAUUCUUGGACUCCUUGGAAUUCUAUACCAAGGCCCAAGGUGGCACUGGGAAAGCUGGUCCCAGCUCCCAGUCCUUGGCCUAAUCCCCUGCUCCUCUCACCUUGGCUCUGUCCUAUAUUCUGAGGUCUUUUAUGAAUGUGUAUAUAUAUAUAUAUAUAUAUAUGUGUAUAUAUACACAUAUAUAUAUAUAUAUGUAUAUAUAUAUACAUGUAUAUGUAUAUAUAUAUAUAUAUAUAUAUAUACCUAGUCCACAAAACUAAACUUGGUCUACUACCUGCCAAACAGCUACUUCUUAGGCACCCUUGAGGCUGAAGGGAACACGCACCAGCUUGGGAGACAGACUGGAAGAAGUAGCUUUGUGAGCAACUUGGAUUAGGCAAGAAAUUUUGGGUACAUGGUUUAGAUGAAGAAAGGGUAUCUAAGCACAUACCCUUGUUUCUUGUGGUCUUCAUUUUAUGAGGAGGGGAUAGUUGGAGAAAGGCCAGAAUGGGGUCCUAAUGCAUGGGACCCAGGGCAGGGGCAUUCCUGCCCCUGAGUAAGGUGAUACGUCUCACUUGUCAUCAAACCAGUCUGUUCCAUCCCAGAGCUUACUUCACAUAGAUGUGCAUCACAGAGCAUGGUUGCCCCUGAGACGUCAUUCUUUUGAGCUGGGCUCCAAACAUCCGGCGUUCCAUAGGGGUUCUUCCACAGCUUUGGUAUAAAUGGACUUAGGGAAAUCUUUUCUAAAGUAUUUUAGAUUUUUUCAGCUUAGAUAACCAGUUGAGGUUUCAAGUUUUGUUUGGUCUUUCUUCCUGGAGAAAGUUGCCUCACUUUGACUUUCUUGAAGUUAUCCCUCCUAGAUUUUGGGGGCCAGCUCCUAAUUUUUGUGGUCAAGAAUAUGAUGAACAGUCUGUAUUCCAUCAUAACCCAAACCCAUAGUGUAUAUCAAAUUUUUAAAUAGCUUCUGGUAUUUUAAAUAGCUUCCUAAUCCAAUGUUUAUAAAAAGCUUAAACAGCUUAUAUAUACUUAAAAGUAAGGAAAACUUUAACACUAGAUACUCAGAAAGUGAAACAUAAAUGCUUUCUUACUGUACCUCUAUUUCCAUUGGUGAAUAUAAAUAAUUAAAGAAAAUGGGACUCCUCUUGUGCAUUCUAUCAAUACACUCCCAAAUACAAAUUCCUUUUUUGGCAUGUUUGUCUCCUUUAUCGUCAAACAACGUUCCUGUAAAUCAACCCCCCCCCCCAAAAAAAAAAAAAAUCAACAAAAGUCAAAUAAAUCAACAGUUUGCCUAAAACUAUGAUGCAUGUACCAGAUGAAAAGCAAAAUAUAUCUUACAGCUCUCAGAACAGCAAUGUAUGUGCAGAAACCUUAGGUGGUGACCGCAAAGCUAAGGAUAGGAAUGAACUUCACAGCUGUAUGGAAACAAACCCAAAUGGAAGGAAAACAUCUGGUAAGGUUUUCCCAAGUAUUUAGCAGCACAUAGUGACUCUCUUCUAAUCUAUAUCCUACAUCUAUAUCUAGAUUCACAAAGCUCCAUGCCAGGAGUCAUUCUACAUAUUUUUCAGGAGAAAUGGGAAGGACUUAGAGUUAUGUGAUGAAGUUCAGUUAAAAACAUAAUUUUAUGUUUCUUUUUUCAGUCAUUGGCUGUUCAUUAUGAAGCCAUUUAAAGUGUUUUCUUAUUUAGUAAUUUAUAUACUGCAAAUCAUGGUCAUGAAGACUUUGGAUGAUAGAAGGGUGUGGUCUGUAUCCUUGGGUGACUUAACAAAAGCCAAA
rnacentral:lncRNA from 1 species